UGGGGAAUAUUGGACAAUGGGCGAAAGCCUGAUCCAGCCAUGCCGCGUGUGUGAAGAAGGUCUUCGGAUUGUAAAGCACUUUAAGUUGGGAGGAAGGGCAGUAAGCGAAUACCUUGCUGUUUUGACGUUACCGACAGAAUAAGCACCGGCUAACUCUGUGCCAGCAGCCGCGGUAAUACAGAGGGUGCAAGCGUUAAUCGGAAUUACUGGGCGUAAAGCGCGCGUAGGUGGUUCGUUAAGUUGAAUGUGAAAGCCCCGGGCUCAACCUGGGAACUGCAUCCAAAACUGGCGAGCUAGAGUAGGGCAGAGGAUGGUGGAAUUUCCUGUGUAGCGGUGAAAUGCGUAGAGAUCUGGAGGAAUACCGAUGGCGAAGGCAGCCAUCUGGCCUAACACUGACGCUGAGGUACGAAAGCAGGAGGAGCAAACAGG
rnacentral:rRNA from 1 species